CCUACGGGUGGCAGCAGUGGGGAAUAUUGGGCAAUGGGAGGAAUCCUGAACCAGCCAUGCCGCGUGCAGGACGACGGCUCUACGAGUUGUAAACUGCUUUUGUACCGGGGUAAAAUGCCUUACGUGUAGGGUUUUGAAAGUACGGUACGAAUAAGGAUCGGCUAACUCCGUGCCAGCAGCCGCGGUAAUACGGAGGAUGCGAGCGUUAUCCGGAUUUAUUGGGUUUAAAGGGUGCGCAGGCGGAGGCACAAGUCAGCGGUAAAAUCGCGGGGCUCAACCCCGCUCCGCCGUUGAAACUGUGUCCCUUGAGUGCGCGAAGGGUAGGCGGAAUGCGUGGUGUAGCGGUGAAAUGCAUAGAUAUCACGCAGAACUCCGAUCGCGAAGGCAGCCUACCGGCGCGCAACUGACGCUCAUGCACGAAAGCGUGGGUAUCGAACAGGAUUAGAUACCCUAGUAGUC
rnacentral:rRNA from 1 species